rnacentral:rRNA from 1 species
UACGUAGGGGGCAAGCGUUGUCCGGAUUUAUUGGGCGUAAAGAGCGUGUAGGCGGCCAUGUAGGUCCGUUGUGAAAACUCGAGGCUCAACCUCGAGACGCCGAUGGAAACCAUCUGGCUAGAGUCCGGAAGAGGAGAAUGGAAUUCCCGGUGUAGCGGUGAAAAUGCGCAGAUAUCGGGAAGAACACCCGUGGCGAAGGCGGUCUCUGGGACGGUACUGACGCUGAGACGCGAAAGCGUGGGGGGAGCGAACAGG